rnacentral:rRNA from 1 species
UACGUAGGGUGCGAGCGUUGUCCGGAAUUAUUGGGCGUAAAGAGCUCGGUAGGCGGUCUGUCGCGUCGGUCGUGAAAACUUGGGGCUUAACCCUGAGCUUGCGGUCGAUACGGGCAUGACUGGAGUUCGGUAGGGGAGACUGGAAUUCCUGGUGUAGCGGUGGAAAUGCGCAGAUAUCAGGAGGAACACCGGUGGCGAAGGCGGGUCUCUGGGCCGAUACUGACGCUGAGGAGCGAAAGCGUGGGGAGCGAACAGG